GAUGAACGCUAGCGACAGGCUUAACACAUGCAAGUCGAGGGGCAGCGAGGGCGUAGCAAUACGCCUGUCGGCGACCGGCGCACUGGUGAGUAACACGUAUGCGACCUGCCCCCUACAGGGGUAUAACCCGUAGAAAUGCGGACUAAUCCCCCAUAGUCCCGGAGGCUGCAUGGCCUGCGGGGGAAAGGGUUUCCGGUAGGGGAUGGGCAUGCGGCGCAUUAGCUAGUUGGCGGGGCAACGGCCCACCAAGGCGACGAUGCGUAGGGGUUCUGAGAGGAAGGUCCCCCCACACUGGUACUGAGACACGGGACCAGACUCCUACGGGGAGGCAGCAGUGAGGAAUAUUGGUCAAUGGACGGGAGUCUGAACCAGCCAAGUCGCGUGAGGGAUGAAGGUCCUACGGGAUUUGGUAAAACCCUCUUUUUGCCCGGGGGAGUAACGUCGUCCACGAGUGGGCGAGUGAGAGUACCCCGGAGAAAAAGCAUCGGCUAACUCCGUG
rnacentral:rRNA from 1 species